UACGUAGGGGGCAAGCGUUGUCCGGAUUUAUUGGGCGUAAAGAGCGUGUAGGCGGCCACACAGGUCUGCUGUGAAAACUCGAGGCUCAACCUCGAGCUGUCGGUGGAAACCGUGUGGCUAGAGUCCGGAAGAGGAGAGUGGAAUUCCCGGUGUAGCGGUGAAAUGCGCAGAUAUCGGGAAGAACACCCGUGGCGAAGGCGGCUCUCUGGGACGGUACUGACGCUGAGACGCGAAAGCGUGGGGAGCGAACAGG
rnacentral:rRNA from 2 species